UGAGAACAGAAAGAGGUCGUUGAUGCAGGGCCGUGUGUGUCCUGUGAGGAGAGAGGUCCACAGCAGCGAUGGCCAGAUAGGGGCUGCAGGCCUUAUCUGGCACCCCACUGGGUUUUGGUUCACAGGCCAGCCAUAUUGCUACAUGAACAUCCUUUCUGUACCUGGGACCCAAGAAACCACCCCAAUGUGAUUUCAUCAAUUACUGGGGUGCAUUGUCAAAUCAUUGCUAGAGUCAGAUGUUGUGGGUGCUCCCUGGAUGGAAAUCCCUCCCCUUAUCUGCUGCUGUCUUUGCUGCACAUUUGUUUCUUGAAUUUUCCUGCUGCCCUCACACUGGAGCUGUUGACAGACAGGAAUGCCCUCAACAAAUUAUACUGUGAGUGUUUCCUUCUUCUUCCUGACCAAGGGUUUAAAGUUCAUUUACAAUUGGCCUGCAGUCCACUUCUUUUUCAAGCACUUAAUCUACCAAGCACCGCAAGUCAAAAUAAAGUUACUUGCAAGAAAAGAAUUCAAGAGGAAAGAGCUUUAUAUAGACCCAUCAGCUCCGUUGAACCCAUAAAAAGUCAAGGGGAAACAAAGUCCUCACAUCAUCACUAAUCAGAAGCCUGAAGUGUGAGGUAAAACGACUGUGCCCUAGCAGCUUCCCACUGCACCUGGAGAGAAGGAAUACUUUCAGGCUUAGCAGCAUAAGACUUUCAGAUAUGAAGACCCUGAAGAAAUAAGCAAUUAAUUAAAAAGAUUUUUCCGAUGAAAUACAAUACAGGAGAAGAAAGGAAAUUGGUUUCAUUUUAUUGAAAAUGAGAAAGAGGGCCCACUAGAAAGAGAAAGAAAGUCAGAAAGAUUAGUAUGGUAAAUUAAAAGGGACCCACAAAUCACUCUUAAAAAUGUCUGUUACGGAUGACGGCAGCGGAAAGCUACUGAAAACAUACGGAGGAAUGGUAGAAAACACGGACUCAAAAGAAGCAGGCACCCUACACAUAACACAGUCACAGAGUUUGGUGUCUACAGGGCUCUUGAGUAAAGGAAUUUCUGUGUGAGGCAACAAGGAGGGAAGGGAGUCCAGCAGACCACACCGUGCUGUCCUGUUUUCAGAAGUACCCACUGUGUAGUUUCAGUCUCUUCUCCCCAUGUAGGAUUAACGCCCACUGGCACUCGUCAUCCCAAGGGAAGUUGGAAAUCUGGGUAUUUUCAUGUGAGGAUCUCCCAGUUUUUAGACACUGACCACAAAUUCGAGUAUUUUAAGUACCCUAAAUAAGCAAAAGCCAACAUGUGCACGGCCUAUACCGACCAAUGGGCUGCCACUUUAAGAACUCAGGAAUCGUAGGUGAAAUUAUGCACAGGCUUUGCACCCUUCUAGAACUGGAUUUUGAUGCCAAGUCCACCAUAAACAUAAAUAGUCCGUUGUCAAUUCCAGUGAAGUCAAAGGAAGUCUAUAAAUUUGUCUAAAGCACAAAAGAAUAAUUGUUAAACUUUAAUUUAAUUAAUAAUGACUAAUUAAUUAUUUUCACUGCUAGGGAUUGUACCAGAGCCUUUACAUUGAGUUACUUCCCCAGUCCUUUAUUUUUAUUAUUAUUUUUUUUUAUAUUGAGAUGGGGUCUUAAUGUCACUAAAUUGCCCAGGCUGAGCUGGAACUCAUGAUUCUACUGCCUCAGCCUCCCAGAAUGCUGGGAUUACAUAAUUAUUUUUUUAAACACAAAUAGCAUACAAAAACAGCGAUACAAUUAAAAAUUUCAAGUCAUGACCUAGUGGAUAAUUAUUUUUUAAAAUGUUGUCAUAUUUGAAAAUAAAAACAAUGCAAUUCACCCAAAACUGGGAGUUGGCCAUGUCUUAAAGCACUGUUUCUCAACUUCUUUUUCCCCAUGACUGUCUACUAAGGAAACUCCUUUCACAGUUUGCUCCCUGACCACUAUCCACCACAAAAAUUUGAGACCAGAGAUACACUGCAUCUGCAUUUAGGUACUAAUGUAUCUCUGCCUUGUAUGUAAACGGAGCACAGCCUCCCUUUCCUCCAAACACAGCUUCUGCCUUCUGGGGAUGAAAGAUUAGCAGUAAGAAUGCCUGUCUCCAAGACAUCCAC
ensembl:lincRNA